CAUAUUUAUAUAUAUAUAUAUAUAUAUAUAUAUACUAAAUAGAUAUACAUGCAUGCUCUUACAUAUAUUUUUGUAUUAUAUUGCUAUAAAUGUAAAAUGAAGAAGACUUCAUAAGUCUGUUUGACUUGUGUCUUAUCCAAUUUGUACUUGAACAAAUAAAAUAUGUUUAAACUAAAAUCAAAGUGAAAACAUACCACAAAACGUCGUAAUUAUCGCGUCGCAGGCUGUAAAACAAAUGAUUGUUAGACAAAAUACAAAGCCGGUACCCAUAUGAUUAUUUUAAGCAUCUUGUGUUCUCGCGUUUGAUGAAGGCAUUCGGAGGGCUGUGAUUGGUUGUAAUGGUAUGAUUUAUUAGUUUACAGAUAGAUGCAGUAAAUAUGAUUAUUAUUUACUAUGUAAAUUUUGAAACACAUUGAAAUAUAUUCUAGUGGAGUGUAGCGUAUCAGACCAUCGGAUUUUUAUGAGAUUGUCGAAAAGGCUUCCAAAUAUUUAUAAAUUUGAUGUCUACCACAAACAAACUCCCUUCGAAGAUGGUAAUGAAACUAUUUGUCUUCAAUUUUUAAAACAGAAUAAUAAAGUACUAAUAUCACA
rnacentral:lncRNA from 1 species